UUAAUUGAAACCAAAAAGAGGUAUAUCACUGUUAAUGAUAAAAAUGAAAUUAAAAUCCAAUUAAA
rnacentral:tRNA from 1 species